rnacentral:tRNA from 13 species
GGGUUUUUUUUUAAAUCAAAUAUAUCGAGACUCUUAGGCUCCAGGUGUCUCCAAGGUGACCUAAGACAACCUCUAUGUUGCUAUCGUAUAUAUCUUUUUCUUAAAAGAUCCUGAUGCAUUAUUCUGCAGGUUGAUAUUUAUUUCCCCUACUAUGGUGACCAAAAGGCAAUUCUAUCUUCUAAUAAACAAGACUUAGGAUUUCCCUCUUCUCCAUAUUAUUUUUCCAGACCAAGUUAUUUUUUUUAAAUUCCUAAUACCCAUAUUUUCAAUGAGGUUUCAUUGGACCUUUCUGCAGUUUCAUUAACAGCCUCUCUUUACUGAAAAUGCAUCCUCUUGCAUAUUCCAGAAUUUCAUUAGUCUUUGUCAUGGCUGAAUCACCUUAGCAACUCAGAGGGAAGGAUUUCUUUCUGUUAACUUUUUAAGAACUCUUGAAUAUCCCUCAAAAUACUCAGAAGUAGCUCUCUCAGAGCUAUCUAGUCCACCUAAUCCAGUACUCCUAGUGUAAUCUCUCCUUGUUUAUACAAUUUAAUCUACCCUGGUCUGUUGAUAUGGUCCUAGCUAAUUUGAUCCUGUCUAAUUUAACCUAUCUUUUAUAGCUCAUGUUAUCUUUGAGGUACCAACAUUAAGAUCCCAUAACCCCUUGCCAACACAGAGUAAGUUCCUCAAGGAGAGGAACCAGAAAUGAGACAGCUGCUGAAGUAUACCAGGCUGCUUUCUCACUUUCUCUCCUUACAAUCAGUAUCACUGUAAAAUUUCAAGUCCAUUGAGAGAGGUGCAGAAUUAAGGCUGCAUUGUCUAUUCUUUCAGAAAUCCCAGGAAAAGGAAAACAUGUCUGGCCUCAAGCAAGGGAAUCUAGUUAUCCUUUUUUCUUAUCCCUGAAAAACUAUGAAAACUAAAGUGCAGGAUAUUUAAUAUUAUCUUUUAAUAGGUCCUGUCUUAUCUUCUUUUCAAAAUUGAUUUGGAAAACCUGCCAGUUAACAGCAAACAGCAAGAGCCAAGAGGGAAAAAGCAAGCCCAACACCAGUGACUGAAGAUUUUUUUAUAUGUGGUCUCUGUGCCCAGCAUCUCCUGACUUCUGAAACGGCAAUAUCCCAGUCACAGUACCUGAAUCCGCUCUCAAAUUGGCCCACAAGAACAAGGCUAGUCUGGAACCAGCCCAGAUGCAAGAAAACAGUUUUCACUAGCUACAGCAGAAUAUAUGAAAGAAACAGAAGUUAUUUAAAUGUGCAGAUGAACAAAGCAUCCUGAAGAGAAGAUAUUGGAUAUUAAAACUGGAUUUGGAUAUUAAAAAAAUUUACUUGGAGUCAAAAUUUCUCAGAAUGUAUCACCAUUCAAGACUAGAAAUGUACACUGUGUUCUUCUAGAAGCAGAGAUGUUUAAGUGCUUUGUCUUUCAUUGCCAAUACUUAUUAUUGCUGUUAAGGUCCUUUGGUCAGGAGUGAGAACAAAGAUAUGGUGAUGCAAUUCUCUGUACCACAGGUGAAAUUCUGACUCUUCUAAAAAUUAAUCUAAAGGUCUGAUUGUAUCUGUGCUGUAGGGUGUAACCUGCUCUGUGCAAGAUCCUUCACUAUACUCACCUUAAUCAUCUAAGCACUCAUGGCCCUCACCCCAGUGGAGCCCAGCCUUGGCUUGGACAUCUAAGGAUGUUUUUAAGACAGAAGGAAGCUGAGUAACUCUCUGCAGAGCCAUAAGAAAGGUUACAUUUCAAACAUGUAGGGUUGGUAUGGGGGUUACCGCAAGUAGCUCAAGAAUUCAGCAGAACAAAAUAGUAGAUUGGAGCAGUAUGAAAUGCUGAAGGAGACAAAACAGAGGUUGUUGAAGAUGGCAACUCAGCAAUGUCAAUGAUUUGAUUCAAUAAGAAGUGGAACCUGGCCAUCCUCCUGACUGACACAUGCCUGAGCAGCAGAAAGCCCUUGGGAGUCCUCUUGGAGGUGGUGAGAAUACUAAUGCUUAGCAUAGUAGCUCAUAAAAUCUCAGUUGUCAUUUGUUCAUGUUUGGUAAUAAAUAAUUACCAUAUGCAUUUGAGCUGUAUAUGUACUACUUGCAGAAUCUUUUUGUUUGAGCUAAAGGUGUUUGAAUAAAUUGGUUCACAGAAGGAGGCACCUGAAGGUACCCUACAAGAAAGCUGGAGAGGGACUUUUCACAAGGGCAUAUAGGAAUAGGACAAGGGUGGAUGGCUUUAACUGAAAGAAGGUAGGUCAAGAUUAGAUAUUACGAAGAAAUUUUUACUAUCAGAGUGGUGAGACACUGGAAUAGGCUGGUUAGAGAAGUUGUGGAUGUCCCAUCCCUGGGAGUGUUUAAGGCCAGGCUGGAUGGGGCUCUGAGCAACCUGAUCUCAUGGAAGGUCUU